rnacentral:rRNA from 1 species
UACGUAGGUGGCAAGCGUUGUCCGGAUUUACUGGGCGUAAAAGGGCGUGCAGGCGGUCUGUUAAGUUCAGGGUGAAAGCUCCCGGCUCAACUGGGAGAGGUCCUUGGAUACUGGCAGACUUGAGGGAGGUAGAGGAGAGUGGAAUUCCCCGGGUGUAGUGGUGAUAUGCGUAGAUAUCGGGAGGAACACCAGUGGCGAAGGCGGCUCUCUGGGCCUUUCCUGACGCUGAGACGCGAAAGCGUGGGGAGCGAACCGG